CCUGUAUAAUGCACAAAUUAUAAGUGAAUUGGACAAAACAGUUUAGAUCAUCAAUCAGAUGGGAAACCGAAAUUAAAUUGCAAUUUAGUUGCGGCACAUAUAGAACAUUUUUCAAAACUAAUCCUGGAGCAAGUUGAACACAACCGCAUUGAGUAGAGCUAGCCUUUUUGCCACUGGAUAAAGUGGAUUAGUCAUCAAGUUGAAUAAUUGAAGGCAAGUAGCACGACGUAUCUCAACAAAUCAGCAAGUGAACAAGUAAAAUAAUAAUAUUAAAAAAAAAAAAAAAAGAAAUAAAAGAAGUAGCAUGUGCAUGAGGAAAGCAACAAUGAGAAGAUUAGAACAAAAGCAGAAAGCCUGUGGCGAUGAAACCGAAGAAACACCCUAGGGCUAAAGGGUAAUCAUCCAAAUACCCAAAUUCUCGCAAAUUCUAUCCAAAUUUUUGGAUGUAUAAUGUGAUGAAGACACCAGAUUUAUCUUAUAUACAAGAUAGAGUUUGGCAGAGGAAAAUUCGUAAAAAUCAGUUAUACAAUUGGGUAUAUAAGUAUAGCCCAAUUAUCCCACAACACAAAAACAAGCAGAACCAAAAUUGGAGGUAGGGAGAUCGAGUGUAUGGUAUAAGAUGAUCGAAUAACUACGGUAUUGAGAAUAAUUGGAGGCGAGUGUUCAAAAUCGGCGGAGGAUCAAGUGUAGCGGCUACCUUGGUGUAAUCCUAAUUCAUAAGUUUCUCCCUACUUUUAAUCCUUAAUUAUCUAGUUUGUUAGAUUAAGCUUAUUCUAUUAUACUUGUUAAUUGGAUGUAAUUUUAUCUUUGAUUUUUCAUGAUUUUGGUCUCACUAUUGAACGCUGAGUUUAUUAGUACUUUAAUAUUGAGUUAGGUAUUUAUUCAAUUCA